rnacentral:misc_RNA from 1 species
GGUAUUCCAUAAUUCUUUACAAAUAAACAGAGGCCCAUAGUUUACCAUACCCCUCGUUGCAAAUACAGCUAAUGAUAUUUUGGUACUUCAUAUAAUGAAACACUUCCUUCACCUGACAAAUUUGUUGCAAAAGGGAAAAGAAUGUUUGAAAAAUGAAAGUGGAAGCCCCUUGUAAAAAUGACAUCAUAGCUAAAUUCAUUUGCAACAUUCAUGCAUGCGAUUAUAGGCCACUGUUCACAGCAAAUUGCAAAGAGGUCAGAUUGGCUACAUUGUAUCUGCCGGUUAUAAACCAUCUAAGUACCAUCUUCCAUUUUGAACAAUUAGCAUAUUAUCUUUUUUUAAGCAUUUAUAUAAUCAUCUUUAACAAAGUAGAUCAUUCUCUAAGGAGAUGCGCAAUUGAUA